rnacentral:rRNA from 1 species
UUCCCGGGCCUUGUACACACCGCCCGUCACACCACGAAAGUUGGCAAUACCCGAAGCCGGUGGCUUAACCCGCAAGGGAGGGAGCCGUCUAAGGUAGGGUCGAUGAUUGGGGUG